CGCGCGUCCCGCGGAGUUUAGGCUGCGGGAAGAGCCCCGCUUAGGCCACGCUGCUCCCAAAGUCUCCUCGGAUCAGAGGGGCCUGCUCCGCACCAAGCCAGUCUGAAGCGCAACCUUGCCUCUCCUCCGGGUCAGGGCACGGUUCAGGGCACACGGGUGCUAGGAGGCAUGUGUUUGGAUGGAGCCAGGAGAUGCUGUGAGAAUUCCCUCCUCCUAGCAGCCCUUCUCCUCGUGGGAAGUCUUUCCAGUAGGAAUGGAGGGUUCUCAGGGGGUGACCCUAUUGACCUCCAGGGAUCCACCUCCACUGACAGUGGGAGGAGGAAGUGAGAGAAAGAUCAAGCCUGCUUCCUUUUCCCACAGAGGACAAGAGACUGAGGCCACCUGGCAGCCUUCAGGAUUUUUCCUCCGUGACCCCAACUCCUAGAAGACCAUGCAGAGGACACCACCACCGUAGCCCUGUGGGCAGGCUCCGUGUUCUUAGUGAGAGCCACUGGGACAGUGGAAUUCAUUGGAAAAUGAGGGGGAAGGAUUUUUAUGAGUUGCUGAGAAUGCAGUGGGGAAAGCUUUCCUUCUCUCCUCUCCCAUGGUCAGGAAACUUGAAGGAGGAUUUAGGGAGGAAGAGGACGUGAACAGUAGGGAUGGCAGAUGGAGUGUCAGGGAAGGGGGCUCCAAAAAGGGAUGAGACUGGGUGAGAGAUGUAGAGGUUC
ensembl:lncRNA